rnacentral:lncRNA from 1 species
AUUUUAAGCUCACAUGCCCCAGUGGGUGCCAAAGCCACUUCAGAGAGGCUGAAAGAUGGCUGAGUCGACAGGAUUUGACUUCCAGAGGUAGAAAGCAGCUGAGCUUUAAUUUCAACAUUCCUGCAGAAUGCUCUGGAAAGUCUGGGCCAGCCACGUGCAAAACUAUGUCCCAGAGUUGAGCAGUGAUGAAACCAGCUUUUCUGCGAUGGGGAAGGAGGGAAACCUCAAAGUACAACCAAAGAGCAGCAGCAGGGUAUGAAGUCCUUCUGUUUAUAAAGAAGAAAAUGUCUCUCGUUCCGAUUUCACAGCUAAACAGAAAUGCAGAGGAUCUAAGUGACUUUCCAAAGCAUCAGACAUUCUUCAGGUGCAAGAAGGUUGCCAUCUGAAUGGACCACUGGUUCACUAUAAACUAUCAUAAACACUUGUAUAAUUACUUUGAAGAUUUUUCCUACCUCGUUUCCUAAAGUAAAUUGAACUUUUACCCAUGAUGUGUACCUGAACCAUCUGAAAGUAUGAGUUUCCUGUAACUGGAAAUACUGACUGCAAGAUUAAAAGCAGCUAAAUUCUCAAUGACAAAUCGAAUGUAGAACAGCGUAGUCUGUAACAAUAAACUAAUAUAGGCAUAUAGUAAUGCA